GAUGAACGCUGGCGGCGUGCCUAAUACAUGCAAGUCGAGCGAACGGACGAGAAGCUUGCUUCUCUGAUGUUAGCGGCGGACGGGUGAGUAACACGUGGAUAACCUACCUAUAAGACUGGGAUAACUUCGGGAAACCGGAGCUAAUACCGGAUAAUAUUUUGAACCGCAUGGUUCAAAAGUGAAAGACGGUCUUGCUGUCACUUAUAGAUGGAUCCGCGCUGCAUUAGCUAGUUGGUAAGGUAACGGCUUACCAAGGCAACGAUGCAUAGCCGACCUGAGAGGGUGAUCGGCCACACGGGAACUGAGACACGGUCCAGACUCCUACGGGAGGCAGCAGUAGGGAAUCUUCCGCAAUGGGCGAAAGCCUGACGGAGCAACGCCGCGUGAGUGAUGAAGGGCUUCGGAUCGUAAAACUCUGUUAUUAGGGAAGAACAUAUGUGUAAGUAACUGUGCACAUCUUGACGGUACCUAAUCAGAAAGCCACGGCUAACUACGUG
rnacentral:rRNA from 1 species